GUCCCUUCCCGCCAGAGCCUGACCGAGGACAAUUGCACAGAAACUUAUUGUCCUGACAAUUCUGCAUUGUCAUCUUCAGCAGAAUAUAUUGCUGGCAGCACUGCAAUCUUAUUGAAGAGAUGAGAGGUCAGUCAGCAAGUCAAACUAAUCCUCACAAGGGAAACCGACCUGCAAGGCCUGCUGGACAUGCUCCUUCUUGAAGCCAUGCACCAGCAUUGUGUCAUACACUUGUGCCAGCUCAUCAGCUGUCGCCCUGCCGCCAAGCUGUCUCGCCUUGCCCUUCCCCAGGUCCAGCCCCUGUGUCAUGACCAGCAACUGUUGAGACCAGUCACUCUAAAUUUGACAUAUAGAUAUAUGGACCGCAAGCUAAGUAGCGAGGGUAUCAGCAGCGGACAAGAUGUAUAAUAACUACAGUAGAAGCCAACAGAUGCAUCACGUCUUAAGAGCUCCCAGACAAGCCAGACACAAGCGCCUCUUCCCCGUGAGCAGACAGAGAGAAGCACACCUUGAGGGCAUCCCGCACUCUACUUUCAUUGUCAGCAGAGAUCUCGAUUGCAGAGG
rnacentral:lncRNA from 1 species